CAUCAAGAAAAACCUUUCUCGAUGGAAAUGAACCAGCAAAGAAAAAAAUUAUUUAUUUUUCAAACAAUUUUACUGGAUGAACAACAACCAUCAACCAAAAUAUUUCUUCGUGGUCUAUGCCCAUAAAGUAAAAAUGGAAUUAAUUAUUUUCCCAAAUCUCUUUCACUUUUUGAUUUGGAUGCACUUCUCGUAAAACCUCCAUCAAUUGAAGGUCUGCCGCAAUUCGAAAUAUCCCUACCCUCAAUCAAAGGUCUGUCACUCGCCAUCGCUAGUUUGCCCUUCAAAGUUUUCUCCUACCCUCAUGAAGUAUAUCACUACAAUUCGGUUGGUUCUUUGUUGUCAAGGUAGACAUCGUGGGUUUCUUGCCGUCGAAGCCCUUUCUAUUGAAGAGUUUUGGCCGUCGAAGCUCUCCUGUCGUUGUGGAUUUUCCUCUAAGAUAAUGGACAAAGGAAGCCGUGUAGAAAAAGUUUACAUGGUGGAAUGAGGAGGGACAAUGCAUAAAAUAUGAGUAUUGCGCCAGGAAGCCUGCACAACAAGGAAUGAACCAGAAAAUUCUCAAGGAUGUUGUUGAUGAAAAGGACAUCACCAUGAACGAGAAUGGUUUAUGUUCUUGGUGGAAAGGAAUGUGUAUGACUAAUGUGUGUUUUAUUGAUUGUUAUUUAUGAAAAUGAAGCAUUGAGCCUAUGUUUAAACAAAAAUGAUUUAUUGAAUUGUAUUCUCAAAAGGUUUUAAAAGCAUCA